GAUGAACGCUGGCGGCGUGCCUAAUACAUGCAAGUCGAGCGAACAGAUGAAGUGCUUGCACUUCUGACGUUAGCGGCGAACGGGUGAGUAACACGUAAGGAAUCUACCUAUAAGCGGGGGAUAACAUUCGGAAACGGGUGCUAAUACCGCAUAAUAUCUUCUUCCGCAUGGAAGAAGAUUGAAAGACGGCUCUGCUGUCACUUAUAGCUGACCUUGAGGUGCAUUAGUUAGUUGGUGGUGUAAUGGCCUGCCAAGACGAUGAUGCAUAGCCGACCUGAGAGGGUGAUCGGCCACAUUGGGACUGAGACACGGCCCAAACUCCUACGGGAGGCAGCAGUAGGGAAUCUUCCGCAAUGGGCGAAAGCCUGACGGAGCAAUGCCGCGUGAGUGAAGAAGGCCUUCGGGUCGUAAAACUCUGUUAUAAGAGAAGAACAAAUUGUAGAGUAACUGCUACAGUCUUGACGGUAUCUUAUCAGAAAGCCACGGCUAACUACGUGCCAGCCGCCGCGGUAA
rnacentral:rRNA from 1 species